UUGGAUUUUCUUGAAAUAAAUAUAGUACUAUUUAUUUAAACUUUAAAUAGAAAUAGAAAUAGAAAUAUAAUAAGAAUAUAUAUUGUUACUUUUCUGAAUAAUUUUUGCUAAUUUUGUAUUUUCUGAAAAAAAUAGAGAAUAAUGAAGGUUAGUGUCAUUUUAAUUUAAACCAAAAAUAUUUAUUAAAAAUGAUAAUAUGAUCUCAGAAUUCUUUUCAUUAUUUUUUUUUGGUUUAUAAUAUCAUUUUCAAUAUAUAAUCAUAUAAAUAUUUCAUAUAAAGUAGUUUUUAUUAAACUCUCUCUGUAUCUUUCAGAGAGAGAGUCAGUUUCUUUGGUCCUGGCAGUUGUGGCCGGUGUUUUAUCCUCUCCGUUGGGGAUUAGGUUCCGACAUCUGUUGCUUAUUUAGAACAGGAUGGUCGGCUUUUGGCUCUGGUGGUAGGCGUUCUUUUCUGGCGUUCCCACCGGCUCUUGGCUCCGGCAACACUUUCUUUAUCCUUCAUUGAGGUUGCUGGCUCUUGUCUCCGAUGAUCUACCUUCUUCUCCGGUGGAUUGAUUAGAUCUUUUCCGGGAUUUCCUGGUUUUCUUGUUCUUCGCUUCUUCGUUUCACUUUGUUCCAAUCGAUUCCGGCCUCUUCAAUUGAUUGCUUCUUCCUCCCCGCUGAUAGUGUAGCUGCGUCUUCGAGCUUAUCCUAAUCAUUAAAGGCGCAUGAUGUUCUCGUAGGAUAAUCGAUUGAAUCGAGGUUGGUUGUAGGUCGUUGGAACUCUCCUUCUGUAGCGAAGACAAUUUUCUCUAUGCUUUCACUUCUCCUUUUGAGUUGCCGGCGACUCCUUUGGUCUGGUUUCUGUUCCGGUUUGUCCGGUGAAACGCCAAUUAGAGUUUGGUCAGAGACUCUCUAGAGGUGAAAGUGGUUGUGUCUUGGUUAUUGUAUGAAGUUGCCUCGACGGUUCCUCUUUCUCGGCGUCCUGUUCCGGUGUGUCUGGUGGACGUUCGGAGAGUUGUUCCGGUGGUGAUUUCCUCGCCGUGAAAACGUGUCGUCUCUCCCUGCAUGUGUCCCUUUCUCGAUUCGGCGCACAACGCGUAGGAAGUUGGUGAGGCAUGGACCGUUUUCCUCUGGGUUAGGGUUUUGUUUGGGCUUUCGUUGGAUCUUUUAUUUUUUUGUUCGGUUUUAGUUUGGCUGAGCCUUUGAUCUCUUUAUUGUACUUUUUGUUCCGUUGGGCUUUUGCCUUGUAAAGAUGUUCAGUGAAAAAAAAAUAGUUUUUA
rnacentral:lncRNA from 1 species